GUGGGGAAUAUUGGACAAUGGGCGCAAGCCUGAUCCAGCAAUGCCGCGUGGGUGAAGAAGGUCUUCGGAUCGUAAAGCCCUUUCGACAGGGACGAUGAUGACGGUACCUGUAGAAGAAGCCCCGGCUAACUUCGUGCCAGCAGCCGCGGUAAUACGAAGGGGGCUAGCGUUACUCGGAAUUACUGGGCGUAAAGGGCGCGUAGGCGGCUCUGUUAGUCAGGCGUGAAAUUCCUGGGCUUAACCUGUGGACUGCGCUUGAUACUGCAGGGCUUGAGGCCGAGAGAGGGUGGUGGAAUUCCCAGUGUAGAGGUGAAAUUCGUAGAUAUUGGGAAGAACACCGGUGGCGAAGGCGACCACCUGGCUCGGUUCUGACGCUGAGGCGCGACAGCGUGGGGAGCAAACAGGAUUAGAAACCCCUGUAGUCC
rnacentral:rRNA from 1 species